AUUGAACGCUGGCGGGAGGCCUAACACAUGCAAGUCGAGCGGAGCGGCGGACGGGUGAGUAAUGCCUAGGAAUCUGCCUGGUCGUGGGGGAUCACGUCCGGAAACGGGCGCUAAUACCGCAUACUAUCAGAUGAGCCUAGGUCGGAUUAGCUAGAGGGUGGGGUAAAGGCCUACCAAGUCGACGAUCCGUAACUGGUCUGAGAGGAGGAUCAGUCACACUGGAACGGAGACACGGGCCAGACUCCUACGGGAGGCAGCAGUGGGGAAUGUUGGACAAUGGGAGAAAGCCUGAUCCAGCAAUGCCGCGUGUGUGAAGAAGGCCUUCGGGUUGUAAAGCACUUUAAGUAGGGAAGCGUUACCAACAGAAUAAGCACCGGCUAACUACGUGCCAGCAGCCGCGGUAAUUC
rnacentral:rRNA from 1 species